UUAUUUGGAAUUGUUAAAAAAGUUUCAGCACUGAGUAAGUAUUUAUUUCUAGUUAUUUCUCUUAUUCAAUUAUAGGGACUAAUUUACCAGUUUAACGUAAAUAUGACUCUUAAUACAUAAUGCUUAUUAACUGAUGAGAAAAUAUCAUGCAUAUGACUAGAUGUAAGUAUUUAUUUUCUAGUUAUUUUUCUUAUUCAGUUACAGGGACUAAUUUACCAGUUUAACACAAAUAUGACUUAAUACAUCAUGCUUAUUACUGAUGAGAAAAUACCAUGCAUAUGACUAGACAAACUCCUCGGAUAUAUCUCUUAUCAACUCUGUUCUAGCCAAGCAAAAGCUGCGGGAAAAUAUUGACACAGAUUUUCCAUUUAUUAUAGGCGAUUAUGUUUUGAGAGAGAAAUUUGGAAUGGAUACCAUGAACUUUAGUUUUAUUUUUGCUACAGUAUUAGUGUUUGAACCUCUUAAGGUACAGUCUUCAUACCUGUACAUAUGCUGAUAGAAAUAAUAGUAAAUCACUUCAUUUCUGCUGCUUGCAUGUGGAGCACUGAUUAGAACUUAUUCCAGAAAAGGGAAGUCUUCCUUGAAAAUCCUUUCUGGUGGAGAACUCUGAAAGUUCUGAUAAUGCUUCUAAUGGUUGCAUGGAUGAACAUAAUGGGAUCAAUGAGGUUAUUUAGACGACAUUGAGUGGAAUGCUGUUUCUGAGUGAUAAUGAAGUAUCUUCUCCUGGGAGAUAUUGGAGAUAUGGUUUACAUUCAUUGAAGGGUAGACAGUUGUCUGUUGAAUAUCUGGAAAAUGAGUGUGAUGUUGUGCAACAUGUGGAUGAUUUGAAUGGUCUCUUCAUUUCUUAAAACCAAAUCGGGGAAAUGCUUUUUGUGGAUUUUCCUUAGCCUCUAGCAAUGUUGCAGAUUAAGUAAAGAUUUCAUCUUCUCGUCCCAGGGCACUUUUUAAAAUUUUCUUGUGGUGAAUUUUGUGGAAAACUACCUCCGAAAGGUUGUACUGGUUUAUGUUGCACAAAACUUCUGAUCUGGCCUAUGAUCCAGAAGAAAGAGCAAAGUUUUGACACGAACCGUUGGAGGAUGGACCAACAAUAAUCUAUGCCCCAUUUAGGAAAGAAACAUUAAGUGUAUGAAAAUCUCUUGUCUAAACCUGGGGUCAUGGCUGCUGCUUACAAUGCUAAGGCCAUUGUCGCAACAAUUGCCUUUGGGAUGCGCAUUGACAAGCUGAAUGUGUGAAGGAUCAUUAACUAUGGUUGGCCCCAGGUGCAAUUACCUAGCUAGAUAUCCUUUACAUAUUUUAUACAACUACGUCUGUAUGCUCAUGUAAACGAACUCCAAAAAAAUCUUGAGCACCUUCUUAUUUUGUCUUGCUUCUAUAGUAAUAUGAUUGUACAUAUGUUCAUAUGUGCAGUUAAGAAGCACUGUGUUUAAGGACUUGUUUGAACUAUUUUCUUUUAGUUGUCUUUCUGUUACUAUUUCAGUUAUGCUUCGUGGUCAAGCUAUUGUAACCUUUACAGAGUCUGGAGGCUUAUUAUCAAGAGGCUGGUCGGGAGGAAAAGUAGCAGAGUGUGUUCUGUAUGCAAACUUGUCGAGAUCACCUACGCUUCUACCAAGUGAAUGAAGUGAGGAGCAGAUAAAGCAAGCCUAACAUGGUCCAUGCUCUGAAAGCAAAUCCUAAGUCCCAUAUCCAGGAGAUUGAAGGGUCCUUGAUUUUUUUCUCUCAUCACCCUGAAAGCCUGCACAUGUUCACUUUCCUCUUCGACGAUAUUGGUCCCACAAGAUUACAUGCAUAUGGACGGGUCUGGUGUCCACACGUUCACAUUGAUUAACAGGGCUGGGAAAUCAAGUUAUGUGAAGUUCCACUGGAAGCCCACAUGUGAUGUCAAGUCCUUGUUGGAAGAAGAGGCAAUCCGAGUUGGAGGAGCAAAUCUCAGCCACACUACUCAGGACCUCUAUGACACUAUUGUAGCUGGAAAUUAUCCUGAAUGGAAGCUCUUCAUAGUUCAUUCAGACUAUGGAUCCAGAUCAUGAAGACAGCUUUGACUUUGUUCCACUCCUGGUAGUACUUCUCUUAUGAUGUCAAUAUAGCGUUGAGGUGACUUGUCUUUUCAACCUUCUCUGACUGUUCUAUGUUGCCUUUUUUCUUCUUUCCUCGUCUUGGGGUACCAUUAGAAGUUAACUAACAGCCUACCUGUUUAUUUCAAUUUAGAACUACUUCUUAGGAUAAAAAUUAUCAUUAUACCUAUUAAAUUGUGUUUUAGCAUUUUAGAGGAUCCGUUUUUCCUUUUUACCCAUUGACUUAGUACGGAAAGUAUUUGGUUUAGUGGAGGAGAUGGUAUCUCGAGCUUACAAGCAGUAGCAUUUACACAAAAUUUAAGCCCUCAAAGUCUUCAUCCUGGUGGCUGCCACUUCAGUUUAUUCGAUGAUUUGAGAUGCAAUUCCACUAAAAUUGAGUAUCUUCUAUUGGGUAUAUUGCUUUUGAAUGCUGAAUGAGUUGUUGAACACUAACUGUCACUUGAAUGUCCUAUCUUGAGAUCCAAUAUGUUAUCUCUUCAUCAAUGCAUGAAUGAUGAAGUUUAGCGAUGAGGAGAUAUGACAGUGCAGAUCCAGUGAAGGAUCCUGUACUGCGCGAGGAGGGAAUCCAAAUUUUCUUUCCCUUUCUUUUAAAGCCAGGUUUUUUACUGUUGUUGUCUCCAUAGAAAAGUAAUCAACAGCAUCUACAACGUUGUUGGAAAAGGUCUGUUGUAUGAAUCUUUUGUUUAUUCAAUUCUUGAUUGUUCACUAGUUUUCAAUUUGUUGUGAUUGUAUUUACAUAACAAGAGAAAUGGUAUGAAGUACAGCUGUUGGUGGAAAAAGUAAACAGUUAGUGUAAUUGGGAAUAUCAUUUGGCAAUAAUUGGGAAAUUAUUUUAAUAAAAGGUAUGUUGUGAGAACUUCUUGUUAAUUCAAUUCUUGAUUGGAGUUAGAGAAUUGUUAGAUUAUCAGUGUUAAUUUUUAAGUGAUUGCAGCAUCAAAUCAAGAGCAGUGGAACACUUUCUGUUCUUAAAAUUGUUCUUGUUAGUCAAUUCUUGAUUGAAGUAAGAAUAUUAUUAGAUUAUCAGUGUUUUUUUCAAGUGAUUGCAGCAUUGGAUCAAGAAAACUGAAACACUUUCUGACCUUAAAAUUGUUCUUGCUAAUUCAAUUCUUGAUUGAAGUAGGAGAAUUAUAAGAUUAACAGUACACUUUCCAGCGUUAAAUUUUUUCUUGUUAAUUCAAUUUCUUGAUGAGAAUUAUCAGAUUACCAGUACAAUUUCCUACCUUGAAAUUUAUUGUUAAUUUCAUCCUGGAUUGAAAUUGGAGAACUAUUAGAUUAUCAGUACACUUACCUACCUUGAAAUUUUGUUGUUAAUUCAAUCUUGAUGGUGCGAUUGAUUAUCUACUCGAUGUUUCUCAAAGAAACACUGCGAGUGCAUCCACUAGUUUUGCAUGUUUCAGCCGCCGUGCUGGUAUGCUAGGAAAAAGAGGCUCCUCUUCUUCAUCUUGUUCUGCAGGCAACAUACGGAAAUCAAGCAUAAACGUAUGCAUUCAAUCAGCAAUUAGACCUAAAUGAAGCAAGACAAUGAAUAAGUUGAAUAUGUCUCAUCAGAAAUCUUGCAAAGAGAUACUGGAGGUCGAAAUGUGCAUUCUCCUCUAGAGGAUUUUGAUCUCCACGUUGCAAUUGGAAAAGCUGUAUCAUCAUCUUAUUGCAAAGAUGAAGAUAUUGGACCAGAUUGGCAAAACAAGGUCAAUAAUUUGUUGCAGAAACACUAUGGACUUUCAUUGUUGAAGGAGUUUCAGAAGGAAGAUCUAGAAAGCUUGGUUGUCUCACCGAGACUGUCUUUUUCUUGCAGCAACAGGAUCAGAUACUACCCCUCACACUUUUCUUUCUCCUCCAUUAUCUCCCUUCCUGUAAAAUAUGAUUUUUGAUUUCUGCAGGGAAAUCUUUGUGUUUUCGGAUUUCGGAAUUGCUGACUGGGAAGGUUGUAUUGAAAUAUUGGACCAGAUUGGCAAAAGAAGGUCAAGAAUUUGUUGCAGAAACACUUUGGACUUUCAUUGUUGAAGGAUUUUUCAGAAGGAAGCUCUAGAAGGUUGAUUGUCUCACCAAGACUGUCUUGUUCUUGCAGCAACAGGAUCAGUGUUUGAAGUUAGCAAAACAUGGUGUUUCUGCUUGCUUCCUUGGAUCUUGUCAAACUGAUCGAAGUGUUGAACGAAAAGCAAUUGCAGGCAUGUAUAGCAUCAUUUAUACUCAUAAAACUCCUCCAAAGCCUUGCAGAAAGUCAUGGGAUUGCUCUAGUUGCAAUCGAUGAAGUUCAUUGUGUUUCUAAGCAGGGACAUGAUUUUCUACCAGAUUACAGGUGGUACUUCACAUUGGGUGUGCGGUGGGGUGGGCUGACCUUCCGAAUUCUGGUUCUAUGUUUGUUUAGGCACUUGAUCAGUUGAAGCUCAAGGAGCCUCUGCUGUUUUUGUUACUACUGAUCAUGGCACUGAUUGCUACUGCCACUACUCGUGUUUGAUAAGACAUUCUGCAGUCAUUGCACAUGUCAAAGGUGAAGCACUCUAAAACAUAUCUUUAGCAUUCUACAAAGUGGAUUUUCAUGAAUGGAUAAAUACUUACUUUGGAAAAGGUAAGUCUUUCUCAAAAAAUAAGUUAAUGUCUACAAAUCUGGAAUAGAACUCUGAAAACUCUAAUAAUGCUUCCAAUGGUUUCAUGGAUGAAUGUAAUGGGAGCACUGAGGUUAAUGUAGAAGACGUUGAGGGGGAUGCUGUUUCUGACAGUAACAAUGAAGUAUCUUCUCCUGGGAGAUAUGGUUUAUAUUCAUUGAAGGAUGGACAAUUGUCUCAAAAGAGAGAUGGUUUAGAUUCAUUGAAAGAAUGACAAUUGUCUGUUGAGCAUCCGGAAGAUGAGUGAUGUUGUGCAAUACGUUGAUGAUUUGGAUGGUAGAACUCUUCUUUGGGUGAAAAGAUCUGUUUAUACAGUAUAAAUCCAAUUUAAGAGAAAAUUUGAUUGACCCCAUCUUCCAUGACACUAAAGAUUACACAACCAUUAACUCGAUUUGUUACCAAAGUCCGAAAGCCACUUCAGAGACCUUGAAAAUUAUUGUGUAAGCAUAGGAAAUGUUAAAAAAUUUAAUGUUGGUUACCUUAGUGUGGAUUGAAACAAUUCCUUUCGUUUGUCGUAGCUGCAGCAGUACUUUCAUCUACAAUGUGAAGUAUUUAAGUUUCAAUUUACUCACCUGCAACAACACUGGACAAUCUAUCGUCACAUCGGCGUAAGAUUGUUUAGUAUGAGAUUUCGAGAGGAUAUAAGCUUGAGAUAGAUAAGCCCCUGGCAAUAGAUGGAAGAGAAAACCUUGCUUCAUCUUAUCCUAUGACACAACUCUCCUAGUACAUGAUCAAAAGACCACAUAAGAUAACUCUUAAUACAAAGUGUCUUCUUGAAGGUACUUAGUUUAGAAAGAAAAGUAAAGAUAAUAAUGACACAGGUAACAAUUAAGGAAGUAGUUGAUGAUAGAAUUUUAGUACACUUACUAGGAGAUUACAUUCGGUGAAGGAAAUCUGACAUUGUCAUAAUAUUACUAUAUGAAUAGCUUUAGUGAUAAGCAACCUCAUGCCUUCUCCUGGAUUUAGCAGAGUUUAUCCUGCAGUUCAUAAAGUUUGGUUUUGAUACACUUGCACCAAAUGCUCUGUUAUUCAACUUAAUUUAUCCGGAAGAGUCAUGUUUAUCUAUAGAUCUGAGACAUCGGCUUCCAAGAGGAGGGAGGCACUACAUGUAUCUUUAUGCUGUUUGAUUUUUUUGUGAAACAGUUCUGUAUGCAAACUUGUCAAGAACACCCUACGCUUCUACCAAGUCAAAGAAGUGAGGAGCAAACAAAACAAGCAUAUAAGAUGUUAUCCGAUUGCUUUAUGUUGUAAGAUAAUUAUUAAUUGAACGACUUCAAUUAGUACUUUGGUUUCCAUCUUAUGUGUUGGUUAUGUUCAACAGAUAUGGAAUGAACACUUCUUGCUAUAGAGCCAAGACACCUGUGGAGUACUUUGGCGAGCAUUUUUUUUGGAGAUAUGUCUCGUAUAUGUCAAUACACACUGGCUAUUAUUGUGUUUCUCUUUUGUUUCUUACAAGCUGCUUCAUGUCAAGGAUGUGUGCUUGUGCUUCUCUGUUAUUCCUCUUAAGUUGUUCUCUAAAUUGAGGUUUCGGGUACUCAUUUUAUCACAGGACAUGCCACAUAAAAGAGAGAUUCAUUUGUAGCAGUUUGAAGUAAAAAAUUUCUCCCUAUGCAUGUAAAGAUGUGCCUAAUGCAUCCCAUUGCUAAUAUCUUUUUUAAUUCAUGCGUACUGAUGCUUGUCUUAUUCUUGUGUAAAUUUUUGCUCAAGAAAAUACUUGUUUAUGACAGGUUUUCUUACUUGCAAUGAGUUCAGUUUCUUAGUUUAUGUCAUUUACCUUGCACAUAAUGCACAGUGUGGUAUAUGCAUCAAAGGCCCACCUGAAAGACAGAAUUUGAAGACUGAGGCGAUGAUCAUCUUGCAAGUUGUUGUUACUCAUUGUACGAAUUUUGCAGACAUCUGUUAUGGUGGUUAUGAAGGGAGAGUUGGCGAGAGGCCAAACAUCAAGGCUUUAGUCAGCAGAAUAAGGGAACAGCUUCUGGGAUCUUUCAUGCCCUGCCAAUAGAGCUCCCCGGAGAUAUAUCAUGUUUGUAAUUUGGAUUGCUCUCGAAGAGACUUCUUCAAAAUCUUUUUCAACAUCAAUCAUAUGCUGGGAUGCUUAUAAUAAUCUGCAAUUCCCGUCUUAUGGAGUAAAGGUACAACGUCAUACUGAAAAUAGGCUCAACUUGUCGAGCAGCUGUCCUCCUGCUACAUGUUACUCUACACUUACCAAGGCCGUGUUUUAUUUUGCUCAUCUCUGAAGUGCCAAUUUUCUUUUUCAGAGAACUAUUCAAUCACCUGUGCAUUUAUUCCAGUAUACCACUUUUAAUUUAAGAAGUAGGUCAAGGGUUGUGGGACAAAGCAAAAAGACAAUAGAUGAUUUUAUUGGGACAGGGACUGCCUUAUGAUAAGAUUGUCUCCCAGGAAAACUGCAGUAGUUUGAAGCUAUCACUAAGAAUAAGACAUUUAAUUACCCUUUUGAUUGUUUUACUUUUAUCCGUCUGGUUCCUCCUGCUUGAUGGAGAAUGUGGAAAGAUAGAACUAGUCAGACGUGUCAAAGUUUUAUUGUUAAAACAGCUGUUGUUACCUUGGAACUAUGGUUACAUGACAAUAUUAAAUGAUG